GAGGGGCAGCGGGAUUGAAGCUUGCUUCAAUUGCCGGCGACCGGCGCACGGGUGAGUAACGCGUAUCCAACCUUCCGUACACUCAGGGACAGCCUUUCGAAAGAAAGAUUAAUACCUGAUAGUAUCUUAAGCACACAUGUAAUUAAGAUUAAAGAUUUAUCGGUGUACGAUGGGGAUGCGUUCCAUUAGGUAGUAGGCGGGGUAACGGCCCACCUAGCCAACGAUGGAUAGGGGUUCUGAGAGGAAGGUCCCCCACAUUGGAACUGAGACACGGUCCAAACUCCUACGGGAGGCAGCAGUGAGGAAUAUUGGUCAAUGGACGAGAGUCUGAACCAGCCAAGUAGCGUGAAGGAUGAAGGUCCUACGGAUUGUAAACUUCUUUUAUAAGGGAAUAAACCCUCCCACGUGUGGGAGCUUGUAUGUACCUUAUGAAUAAGCAUCGGCUAACUCCGUGCCAGCAGCCGCGGUAAUACGGAGGAUGCGAGCGUUAUCCGGAUUUAUUGGGUUUAAAGGGAGCGCAGACGGGUCGUUAAGUCAGCUGUGAAAGUUUGGGGCUCAACCUUAAAAUUGCAGUUGAUACUGGCGUCCUUGAGUGCGGUUGAGGUGUGCGGAAUUCGUGGUGUAGCGGUGAAAUGCUUAGAUAUCACGAAGGACCCCGAUUGCGAAGGCAGCACACUAAUCCGUAACUGACGUUCAUGCUCGAAAGUGUGGGUAUCAAACAGGAUUAGAUACCCUGGUAGUCCACACGGUAAACGAUGGAUACUCGCUGUUGGCGAUAUACUGUCAGCGGCUUAGCGAAAGCGUUAAGUAUCCCACAUGGGGAGUA
rnacentral:rRNA from 1 species